rnacentral:rRNA from 1 species
GACGAACGCUGGCGGCGUGCUUAACACAUGCAAGUCGAACGGAAAGGCCCUGCUUUUGUGGGGUGCUCGAGUGGCGAACGGGUGAGUAACACGUGAGUAACCUGCCCUUGACUUUGGGAUAACUUCAGGAAACUGGGGCUAAUACCGGAUAGGAGCUCCUGCUGCAUGGUGGGGGUUGGAAAGUUUCGGCGGUUGGGGAUAGACUCGCGGCUUAUCAGCUUGUUGGUGGGGUAGUGGCUUACCAAGGCUUUGACGGGUAGCCGGCCUGAGAGGGUGACCGGCGACCUUGGGACUGAGAUACGGCCCAGACUCCAACGGGAGACAGCAGUGGCGAAUAUUACACAAUGAGCGGAGGCGUGAUGCAGCAACGCCGCGUGCGGGAUGACGGCCUUCGGGUUGUGAACCGCUUUCGCCUGUGACGAGGCGUGAGUGACGGUAAUGGGUAAAGAAGCACCGGCUAACUACGUG